GGCUCAGGGAGGAGCCAGGAAGGGGCAACUUCACCUUGUGGGGAAUUUAGGUGCCCAGAACCUUCUGGGAGACGAGGACUUGGAGGCAAGGGAGCAGCAGAGGUUGAGGCAGCUCAGGUGACUGAGCCCCAGACCUCCUACCUCUCCAGAGGUGUAAGAGCUUUCUCAGCCGCUCAUUCGCUCCCUUGCUCAUUCUUCCUUUCUUCUAUGUUUGGUUGCACCUUGAGGCACGUAGGAUCUUAAUUCCCUGACCAGAGAUCAAACCUGGGCCCCUGCACUGGAAGCAUGGAGUCCUAACCGCUGGACCUCUAGGGAAGCCCCAGGAGGUUAUCAUGGCUCACUGCUGCUGGCCACGUGAUUUCAGAAGCUAGGAGUGAUACCGUGGAGAGGGCUGCCUUCCUGGACUUCUGUAAAUGUUAACUCCUGGUUACCUUCCCAGAUGUUGAUCAAAUGGAGGGCAUCAGCCAUACUCUCCAUCCUAUGGGAUCACUCCUCACAACCCCUUUCCGAGAAGCCCCCUGGCCAGUCUGCCUGGGGACUCCAGACUUGCUGCGCAGCUCCCAGCUCUUAUCCCAGGACUCCGCUGGACUGCUCUCCUGGCCUGCACACACU
ensembl:lncRNA